rnacentral:rRNA from 1 species
AAAUGACUCUCGGCAACGGAUAUCCCGGCUCUCGCAUCGAUGAAGAACGUAGCGAAAUGCGAUACUUGGUGUGAAUUGCAGAAUCCCGUGAACCAUCGAGUCUUUGAACGCAAGUUGCGCCCGAGGCCUCGGCUUAGGGCACGUCUGCCUGGGUGUCACGU